UACAGAGGAGCCAAGCGUUGUCCGGAUUGACUGGGCGUAAAGCGCACGCAGGCGGUUGCGCGCGUGGGGUGUGAAAUCUGGCCGCUUAACGGCCAGGCGCCAUCCCAUACGGCGCGACUGGAGCGAUGCAGAGGUCGGUGGAAUUGCCGGUGUAGUGGUGAAAUGCGUAGAUAUCGGAAGGAACACCAGUGGCGAAAGCGGCUUCCUGGUCCAGCACCGACGUUCAGGCACGAAAGCGUGGGGAGCAAACAGG
rnacentral:rRNA from 1 species